CCAAACAAAGAUUGCAACAUUCUCCUGGCCUGGAGUUCACAGCUGUGGGAAGAGGUCGCACUGGCACCCCACUGCCUUUACGAAGUACCAGUCCGAGUUACAUCUUUGCAGAUCUUCAUGCUUCAAGGGCAUUCAAAGGACCUUCUACUGGACUGCGCCGUGUCUUGACAAUCAAGGAAGAGGGCCUGCCCUGGAGUGUGAUCAAAAGAAGAGAGUUCACAUCAUUAAGGAAGACAGAACCUCCCUCCUCCAGCAGUUAUCAAAUGCCAGUGUCUCCUCUGCUAGUGUUGGUAUUGCAUGCCCAUCUCCCCCUCCUUCUUGCUGAGAUUUAGUCUAGAUUGAGCUGGGGCCGGUCUCCUGCAUGGUCAUAAUUGCUGUGAGUUAAUGUGUGCCCCUGCCUGGCUGUGUCUAGGAAACAUGGCUUCCUUGAUGACAUCCCCCAUCUUUAGUAUUCCAAGCUCUAUGGACCCCUCUAUGGUCUUUGAACAUGCCAUUUAGAUGACUAACACUUGUCAGACACCUACCACAUGUCCAACUUGAACUUGGUAUGUUAUGCGUAUAUUACUGAAAUCUCAAAAGUGUAGUCAUUAUUGUAAUUGGCUCCAUUAGGAAGUGUAGAGAAAGGUUAACUCAAGUCCUAAGGGGUCCAUAUGUUAGUGUUGUACUCUGUAUCUUAAAUGUUCCCUAAAGGAAAAUGUAUAUGUUAAAGGCUUGAUCCUUGGCUUGGUGAUCACACAAGGAAGUGGCUACUUUAAGGUGUGAAGUCAAUGG